GACGAACGCUGGCGGCGUGCUUAACACAUGCAAGUCGAACGGUAAGGCCCUUCGGGGUACACGAGUGGCGAACGGGUGAGUAACGCGUGAGUAACCUGCCCUUCACUCUGGGAUAACAGUUGGAAACGGCUGCUAAUACCGGAUAUUCAGCUCCUGUCGCAUGGUGGGGGUUGGAAAGUUUGGGUGGUGGAGGAUGGGCUCGCGUCCUAUCAGCUUGUUGGUGUGGUGAUGGCCUACCAAGGCGUCGACGGGUAGCCGGCCUGAGAGGGCGACCGGCCACAUUGGGACUGAGAUACGGCCCAAACUCCUACGGGAGGCAGCAGUGGGGAAUAUUGCACAAUGGGCGGAAGCCUGAUGCAGCAACGCCGCGUGCGGGAUGACGGCCUUCGGGUUGUAAACCGCUUUCAGCAGGGACGAAGCGCAAGUGACGGUACCUGCAGAAGAAGCACCGGCUAACUACGUG
rnacentral:rRNA from 1 species